rnacentral:rRNA from 1 species
AGCAGAGAUGCUUUAGUGCCUUCGGGAACUCUGAGACAGGUGCUGCAUGGCUGUCGUCAGCUCGUGUUGUGAAAUGUUGGGUUAAGUCCCGCAACGAGCGCAACCCUUUAUCCUUUGUUGCCAGCACGUAAUGGUGGGAACUCAAAGGAGACUGCCGGUGAUAAACCGGAGGAAGGUGGGGAUGACGUCAAGUCAUCAUGGCCCUUACGAGUAGGGCUACACACGUGCUACAAUGGCGCAUACAAAGAGAAGCGACCUCGCGAGAGCAAGCGGACCUCAUAAAGUGCGUCGUAGUCCGGAUUGGAGUCUGCAACUCGACUCCAUGAAGUCGGAAUCGCUAGUAAUCGUAAAUCAGAAUGUUACAGUGAAUACGUUCCCGGGCCUUGUACACACCGCCCGUCACACCAUGGGAGUGGGUUGCAAAAGAAGUAGAUAGCUUAACCUUCGGGAGGGCGUUUACCACUUUGUGAUUCAUGACUGGGGUGAAGUCGUAACAAGGUAGGCGUAGUGCU